rnacentral:rRNA from 1 species
CAGCCGCCACGGGAAAACGGAGGGAGCUAGCGUUGUUCGGAAUUACUGGGCGUAAAGCGCACGUAGGCGGCUUUGUAAGUUAGAGGUGAAAGCCUGGAGCUCAACUCCAGAAUUGCCUUUAAGACUGCAUCGCUUGAAUCCAGGAGAGGUGAGUGGAAUUCCGAGUGUAGAGGUGAAAUUCGUAGAUAUUCGGAAGAACACCAGUGGCGAAGGCGGCUCACUGGACUGGUAUUGACGCUGAGGUGCGAAAGCGUGGGGAGCAAACAGGAUUAGAUACCCCCGUAGUCCCUGUCUCUUAUAA